rnacentral:rRNA from 1 species
AAAGAAAAUAACAAUGAUUCCCUUAGUAACGGCGAGUGAAGAGGGAUUAGCUCAAAUUUAAAAUCUGCUGGGUUUACCUAUCAGAGUUGUAAUUUGAAGAGGGCGUUUUCCGCGUCAUUGUUGGUCCAAAUCCUUUGGGAUAAGGUAUCAUGGAGGGUGAGAAUCCCGUCCGACCGACAUCAUGAUGUUUUACGAUACGCUUUCAAAGAGUCGAGUUGUUUGGGAUUGCAGCUCAAAAUGGGAGGUAAAUUUCUCCUAAGGCUAAAUAUUGGCGAGAGACCGAUAGCGAACAAGUACCGUGAGGGAAAGAUGAAAAGAACUUUGAAAAGAGAGUUAAAAAGUACGUGAAAUUGUUGAAAGGGAAACGAUUGAAGUCAGUCGUACCGACGAGAAAUCAGCUUUUCGAAUGUGCAUUUGUGGGCGUAUGAGAUCUUCAUUGUUUGCAAUAUGUAUGUUUCUUUGGUGUAUUUUUUCGUAUGGUAGGUCAACGUCGGUUUUGGUCGCCAUAAAAUGAUCGGAGGAAUGUAGCUUCGACCUCGGUUGAAGUGUUAUAGCCUUUGGUAAAUGUGGUGAUUAGGACCGAGGAUUGCAACGAAUACCUUUUAGGCUAUCCGUCUGACCUCUGAAAGUUACUUAGGUGCCGAAAGCUUGCUUACGGUCAUUUAAGUUGACGGUCAAAAGGUUAGAACGUGAUUACAUUCGUUAAGGACGUUG